CACGCAACCAGGACAAAAUGCCCGGUUAAAAUGUUGGCUGGGCUGAUAACUUUGACACAUGCCGCGAGGCCGACCAGGAACGGGGUCGCUCUGCAGUCCUGAGCAGACUUUCCCGUUUGGCGGCCUUAAAUUAGCCAAUUCCACCCGAGUUACCCCACUGAGUGCACAAAUAUUCAGAACAAAGUACAACAACGUUACAACAAAACAUCCAGGAAGUCACUGUACGCUAACAACAUCUUCCUGACACGGGGUGCAACACCAGAUCGAUUAAACACAUCCCUUCACAUGCCAUGUUAAUGUCGUCAUGUAGUCUGUUGAGAUCUUCGUGAUCCUCGGACUCGACGCGUGGUUCGAUAUGUUGCUUUUUGCUGCAGAGAAUCUCUUUUUUCAUCAUUUCAUCAUUUGACGAAUGAAGAAUGAGAAGAGACACACCACAGUCGCUUGCACGGUGUGAAAGUCUGCAGCGUCUCUUCAGUACCCCAAUCUGCACCAACGUUCACACCAUUCACACUGCAAACACACUCCAAAGUUUCCACUGGUAGAAGUGGUAUGGCCUCUUACCACAUUCUCCCACUGAAAUGUUUCUUCGGAGAUUUUACAAUCUCAAUCUACACAAACGGAAUCCUAGCAAAGCCCUGUACACUGUAAUUUUCACAUUUCUAUCCUAACAACAUUUUCUGUAUUAUGCAAUUUCAUAUUCUUUGAAACCAAUUUGUCAAACGUUGAGGUUGGAACACCAUGUCUGUUUGGAGAAAUAAACAAAGAAAUAAUCUCAUUCACUGCCUACUUGCCCGAGUUCAUGAACAGUUAAAGGCAAACUACAAUUUCCCAUGUAUGACAGAUUGCGGGCGUGAAAUCAAUGAUGCCAAAUAAGAGCCUAAAAAACGGACUCGGGGUCAUUACGCAAAAGUACACAAAGAGUUAAUCCAAAAGAAAUUAGCAGGAUUAUUUACAUAACAAAUUAGCUGUAAUAAAACACAAUGUAAUCUGUUUUAGGUCAAGAGCAGGACGGUUUGGGCAGCCAGGCGGGCAGGCUGGUAGUGCUUUGCUCUGUGUGAGGUCCAUGUGUAAACACCAAUUUAGAGAUAGACAGGCACAUCAUUCCCACUCUGGUAUCAACAAAUUAGCAGUCUGUCGAAGUCAAUUAGACCAGCGGACCCAAGGCCAACAUAUGGACGCCUUACACUUUGCCCUGACAGCAAAACAAACUACAACUGGAGAAAAGAUGUUGUGUUUAGCAGUCAUUUGGAGCCGUGUUUACCCAACAGGUAGCAGAACAUCUGGCAAGAACGCCACGGUCUACCUGAAAGAUACACUAACAUAUACAUCUUGAAUAUUUAGUCUGUAUUCACAAAAGGAAAUAUGACGGAAUAGAAUCCGAGAAGAAAACUAAAUCUGAGGUUCCGUGGAUAAACUCGGUCCCACUUUUGUGCUAUAUUUUAUCCCCCAAAAAAGGGGAGCUCCAGGCAGGUUAUGAACUUGUAUUUGUGGUGUGUGUGUGUGUGUGUGUGUGUGUGUGUGUGUGUGUGUGUGUGUGUGUGUGUUUGUGUGUGUGCCUAUUGUAAAACUGCCAUGCAGUGUGGUGGGCAUGCCUGCCCUCCUGCUCCAAAUUGCCCAUUGAUUCAGUGUGCCAUGGGCUGGCUCCGGGUCCAGGGUAGAGUAGCAUUUGUGUGCUCUCAGCCAUGCCCUGCGUCCAUAUGUUGGUGGGAUGAGCUCCAACGUUGCCAUCAUCCAAAACCAGGACAAGUGGACCUUUGUUUGUUGUGUUUUGCUGAAUCUCAGUGAAUACGUUCCUCAAAAGCAGGGAGAAAAAUGGCAAUGAGGCUCAGCUGUUGCAGUUUCUGCUAAUGAUAAUCAAACAAAACAAGGAGCAAUAAGUGUGUAAGAAACUAAAAUAGUCGUAGAGGUCUUACUCGGCUAUUUCAGAUGUUUACAUUACAUUCUCUAAAGUUGGCAUCGCACCAAGCUGCAUGGCGUCACAUGGGAGAACAGCUGUUACAGGAUUACUUCUUUCUAGGAUGGCAUCUACAUGAUUGCUUGAGCCAAUAAAAUCACCGGGAGAAAAAAAAACAAAAAACAGAUUGCUAUCCAAACAGAAUACCGAACUUGGAGGGGGAGGAAAAAAAAGAAGAAAAAGUUUUUCUUUCAAAUGAAAUAAAUCCACAACACUGUGCAAACCUCAUGUGCUCAGUGAGAGAGGGCUGGGUGGGGGGUCACUGACGGGGGCAAUUCUAAGCUUUAACAAAAAACAUGUCUUGGGGGAAUAAGUGUAAAUGGUUUGGCAGGGGAAAGAGAGGAGGGGGGGGGGGGUUGUAUAGUGAAGGACAGACACCCUCUCAAAGGCAUUGCGAUUGGACAGGGCUGGUGACUGGACCAGAGUGAUGUUCUCCAGCUUCUCCCAUUAGCGAAACCAACAAACACAAUGGUGUGGUUGUUAUUCUUUUGCCAUAAUCAGAAAGGGCUCCGUGUGUGGGCAGUGUAGUGGGGAGGAGGAGAAGUCGAGUUUGUCCUAUUCACUCCCCCCCUCCUCCUCCCUCCCUUUCCUAUUUGCAUGACUUGAGCAAAUUAAAUGAUGCAAUAUGGCUUUUUGUCGCAACACAAAGUAAAAUACCACCCAGCCACUGAACGGUUUACAGGGGAAGGGCUCCAGGUGAAGAUCCCACGGAAUCAGCACUAAAUUCGGCGCACGGAGAGGCUUUUUAUUGCCUUUAACCCACCGGAAACCGAGCACGUUUUGCUCUAUUCUUGCUCACAAAGCGGCUGUCGCGCUCGUUUGAUCCAUUCGGUCGAUGACGUAACCGCCAAAAGGCUUUUAUUUGAUGUACUUUUGUUGUUGUUGUUGUUGUUGUUACCGUGAAAACACCAGCAGGGUACAGCUCGUUAGCCGAGACCACUUGACAAAUGACAAAUGAGAACUAGCGGCUUUCAAACUAGACAACAAGUAAACACGUCGUCGCCGGCUUCCAGCUACGGUACACCGGGUCGACACCGGACUCCUACCUUUCCGCCUCUCUCUCUCUCUCUCUCUCUCGUGACAGUUAAAGCGGACGGUGACGAGAAGUACCGUAAAUCGUCGAAUGAUUACCAUGGUAACGCCGAAGCGCAUUGCACAGCUAAAUUACUGUUGCGCCACAGUGUGUAAAAAAAAAAAAAAAAAAAGCAAGAUACGCGCGAGAGAGAAAAUGAAAACGUGUCCUGGAAAAUUAGACAUAACGUGAUUCCACGAGUGGGGAUUUUACCAGGCGAACUAUUAGGUGAUUUGAAAAUGUAAAAAGAAAAUGGAAUGCGCGCGAGAAGAAGAGCGAGCCCGGUGACGUAUGACUUCGCGGGAGCGCGCACGAGGGCCACAGACGCGUCCGCGUGGAGAUAAACAGUUUACCUGCAAGAGGCGAGGACGCAGAGUGGAAGAAGUGGGAGACGCGCUGCUGGGCUCCGUCGAGUGAAACAGUAAAGAAAGUUGUCACUCACGUCUGUUUCUGCCUCAAAUGUGUGAUUUUUAAAUGUAAUAAACUAAAAAUGUAAUCACUUAUUUUAGCUUUUCACUGCAAAAAUGAGACAUUGGUUUUACAUUAGGCUCUUUCUGUGAUAUUUUUUACUUUUACUUUCUGUAAGAUAAUGAAAACGUGACUUUUACAAACGGAGUAUUUUUAUAUUGUGUUAUUGGUGUUAUUGGUAAAUUGACUGAAUGUGGGGUAUUACAGUGCUGUCCAUAUGUCGGAGUAACUUCAUGGCUGUGAGCCAAGUCUUUAAAACAUUAGAAAAAUAAGCCAUACCUCGUUCUCAAAUAACUGAGUUUAUGAAAGAGGCAUGGACAUUUCUGUGAGACAAUGACAUUAUGAAAAUUGUAAAUAUUAGGUCACAUCCCAACAGGUGUUUGACUUUGUUUCUAAAUAUAAUCUUAAAGGUUCAUUCUGCUAACUGCAUAAGUACAAUUACGCAUGGAAAAUAAGCUACAUUUUGAAUCAAUUAUUUUGAGCUAAUGCGCAGCAAUUUGUUGCCUUUACAGUUGCACAUACUGUAGGGGGUCUUAAUUUGACUCCUGAAAAUACCGGAUCGAAUGUGGGACCAAUUGCCUUUCAUUGUCCUCAUCAAAACAAUCCCACGCCUGCUAUCCAAAGGGGAAUGUCCAGCCAUGGCAAUUACUGGAGUAAAAACAGCCCUCCCUUUCUUUCGGAUACACAGAGAAUCUGAAAUCAGUGACAUUAGCGGCACCUGUUCUUACUUGGGGGUCUACGGCACUCACCAGAGCCCCAGCUCAGCUUAUCUACAGGAAUCCAGGAGGGGUUGGUUUGAUUGUGGGCAAUUAUGGAAAUGACUGUGUGUGCUAUGAAGCCCUAUAGCAGACCCUGCCAGAUCUGACCCCCACCCUCAACAUUCUUUACGUUACCCCAACUGGAGACAUUUCAGGACCAAGUAUAGCCAAAGUCUUGCUGCAGUGCGCUGGAUGCACAGGAGGGAAGGGACAAGACCGCGUGCGGAUAACCAGCUCCACGCAGAGUGGCGUAAUACCACUGCACCCUGCGAACGGCGUGAAGAACAUGUGGGAUGCAGCUGUGGAAUAAAUGAGGGGUACAUCUGCAGGGAGAGAUAGAGCGUAAGAGAGAAUCACAUUUUGACAGAGCACAGCUUUAAGCUGACAGAGUCCGUGUGAGGAACAGGCUGGGAGCAGACACACGCUCACAUGCAUACACACAGGAAUGAAUGAGCACACAACCAUACGGUUAUCAAAACCAGUUUGUCCGUAAUACAUUUAUUGCAUCACAAUUCAGAAUUGGGCGUGAUUUUCUAAAGUUCUCAAUUCUUAUUCAACAAAUUUCUUUAAAAGAAAAUGUCAAGAAAAAGAAUCCCUGGAAAGAUACCACCUGCUGUGUCGUUUUAUUUCUGCAGGGUCAGUAGGGGAAUUCUCAUGCACUAAGCAAGCAUAUCCCAGAGGAAGAUGGUUAGGUUUGCGUAUGACCACAUGAGGAUCAACAACAUGGGUCUGGAGUUUUGAUAGCUCUCCUCGCCGCCUACACUGUUUCUCAUACUUAGGAGAUGUUGAAAGUUUACUCUGUUCCCUCUGUCCAUUCUGUUCCUGCAUUGUUUGCUUCAUAACCCACUAACGUAACCAUUGGGACUACACAACUGCACUGGUGUGCAGGCAAAAGCCCACAUCAAAGUUUGCAAGUCUCAAAAGUUGCCUCGAAGUGUCGUCUGAGUGGGCCAGCACUUAGUUGUUGGUCCAUCUUGGUUCAUCUCGAGACCUGCAGGAAACAAAAUAUUUUCAACCAUAAUUUGACUCAUUAACAGACGUUUUCCAAUUGCUUAAAAUAAAUGAUUGUAUUGUCUA